ensembl:lncRNA
AGCCUGAUGAGGAGGGCAGACAGAGUCCUGCGUGCUGGAGCCGUCAGGAACUCUCAGGGUUCACCCUCUGAGUUCAAGAAGUUUCAGUAACCAUUUUCUCCCUGGUGUCUGGGAUAAAUCACCCAGAACCAUUCUCAUUCUCCUGGGAUAUCCUCCGCUAGGUGAACACUGAGGACCAUGGCGGCUUGGACCCAGGAACUGCGGAGGAGAUGAGACGAUGCUCAUGUCUCCUCAAGCCCCCUCCCUGCAGGAGGCUGGCCGACCUGCCACAGCCUCUCUAGACAGACAGACAGCAGAAUCGUUCUUCAAAGGAACACAGGAAGAAGCCGGGGGCUGCCUGGAGAUGAGCAGUUGGACCAGACCAGGAUAGACCAUGCGCCUGUGACAUGGGUCAGCGCCUCCCCCUUCUCCAAGUCAUUAUUGACAAGAGUCAAUGUGGUAUCCUGCUCUUCUCCAGCCAAGGCUGUCCCCAAAACCACAGCUGGACAAUUGGACAUAUGCUUUCCAAGGACUUUGAAUCUGGACAGAUUCAUGCGAAGGAUGGAAAGCUGCAUCGUUGGUGCAGGGGCCAAAGCCCACGAACCCACAUACUGAAGUCUCGGCCACACAUGGGAUGGCUCCGCUGUUGGGAGACUGACUUCUGAAACGAAAUGCCUCACCGAACAAUCGCUUUCAGCCCAAAGGAGCAUUUUAUGACACGAGCUAUAAAUAUCCCUGGAAGCUUGGCAUGGGUCUUUGGCAGGAUCUCCUAACUGAUUAAGGCUGCAGUAAUGACUGGAGUGGGUGGAGAAGAGAGCCUGUAGGCCUGGGCAGUGCGCACCGUAUUUCCUCUGCUCUGGUAGCUGCUAACCCGGUAGACUGGGGUGUAAGGAUUUCCGGAGCUGGGCGGUUGUUGGGAAGUAAAUUCUCACUGGGCUUAUGUCUGAAAGUUCUGGGUUUCAUUCCUGGCCCUGCGUCUGUACUGCGAGCCUGGGGCACCUCACCUCCGAUAGACUGAGGUUGUUCAUCCGGAAAAUGGGGGUGGGGGUGAAACCAGUCACUUACAUGAAAGUGUCCUGCAGAGUCUGGCAUAGGGAGGCGGCCCUGGAUGAGCCCCGGAUCAGAGGAGGCCAGUGCGUGGCAUCCGGAUGCCAGGCUGGG